rnacentral:rRNA from 1 species
GCCCUUGAGUUUGAUCCUGGCUCAGAUUGAACGCUGGCGGCAUGCCUAACACAUGCAAGUCGAACGGUAACGCGGAGAGCUUGCUCUCUGGCGACGAGUGGCGGACGGGUGAGUAACAUAUAGGAAUCUGCCCUGAAGUGGGGAACAACCCUGGGAAACCAGGGCUAAUACCGCAUACCCUCUACGGAGGAAAGCCGGGGACCUUCGGGCCUGGCGCUUCGGGAUGAGCCUAUAUCCGAUUAGCUAGUUGGUAGAGUAACGGCCUACCAAGGCGACGAUCGGUAGCUGGUCUGAGAGGAUGAUCAGCCACACUGGGACUGAGACACGGCCCAGACUCCUACGGGAGGCAGCAGUGGGGAAUAUUGGACAAUGGGCGCAAGCCUGAUCCAGCAAUGCCGCGUGUGUGAAGAAGGCCUGCGGGUUGUAAAGCACUUUCAGUCGGGAGGAAAAGCCCUUGAUUAAGAGUUGAGGGUCUUGACGUUACCGACAGAAGAAGCACCGGCUAACUCCGUGCCAGCAGCCGCGGUAAUACGAAGGGC